AAGGGAGACCUAAUUCGGGUAUAAGACGAAAAAAGAGUAGUCGAAACCAAGAAUCAAUCCCAAAAGGUCGGAACGAGGUAUGUGGCUUUCAAACUAGGUUCUGGGUUCACACAAGACCUGAAUCAGGAACAAGGGCUAUUAGCUCAGGUGGUUAGAGCGCACUCCUGAUAAGGGUGAGGUCCCUGGUUCGAGUCCAGGAUGGCCCACCUGCACAGGUGGCAAAAACAAAGAAGCGAGGAAUCAGCACCUUAUCUUAUCUAUAUAUAAGAGAGAAUGCUGGCUCUGAGUAAAGAGUCCAGAGGAACCUUGAAAACUGCAUAGAGCUAGGUGAAAAAGCCAAAAAAGAAGACCGCAA
rnacentral:tRNA from 1 species